CGAGGGGUGCAAGCGUUGCUCGGAAUUAUUGGGCGUAAAGGGUAGGUAGGUGGUCUCAUUUGUCUGGGGUGAAAGCCUUGAGCUUAACUCAAGAAGUGCCCUAGAAACGGUGAGACUGGAGUCCUGGAGAGGGUCGUGGAAUUCCCGGUGUAGCGGUGAAAUGCGUAGAGAUCGGGAGGAACACCAGAGGCGAAAGCGGCGACCUGGACAGGUACUGACACUCAACUACGAAAGCGUGGGGAGCAAACAGGAUUAGAUACCCUGGUAGUCCACGCUGUAAACGAUGGGUACUAGGUUUGGCGGGUCUUGACCCCUGCUGAACCGGCGCUAACGCAAUAAGUACCCCGCCUGGGAAGUACGGUCGCAAGACUA
rnacentral:rRNA from 1 species